UGUUGAAAAACCUAGGAUUACUUAAUGC
rnacentral:piRNA from 1 species